UAUCUUCGCUUGGGGGCUGGGACCGUGGGAAGUAGAAGUCGCAACGUUCUAGCUGCGUCACUGUAGCAGUUGCCCACAUAUAACCUAUAUCUAUAGGAGAUUUCAGAGGAGCAGCUGUGUUAGUGUAUAUCCGCGCAAAAAAACCAGGACGACUUGGGGCACCUUAGAGACUAACAAAUUUAUUUGAGCAUAAGCUUUGGUGAGCUACAGCUCACUUCAUGGGAUGCAUAGCAGAGGAUGUGUGGGAUCUGUUUGGGGGAGAGGCUGCAUGCAGUCGGUUGGAGCUGUCAGAGGCAGUGAGAGCCACAAGCAGCAUGCCGCUGCACAGCCACACCUCAGCAAAGGCUGGGGUGUUUGGGAUUUUGGGGGUGUGUGGGAGGGUUGGUUCAGGCCCGUUUUAAAGAAAAGGGCAGAUGUGAAGUUUGAACCUAAAGCCAGGCUUCCCCAGAGUGCUGUGGUCCCAGUUCUCGCCUAUCUCUCGUUAUUAAACGUGGGGCACUUUAACAGCAAGGAUGGAGUUUACAGGAGCUUUUUCUAUGGCUUCCAUCGUGGCAGUAGCUGAGUGACUAAUAUGGCGAUUUCCUGCAAUGUCCUUGAAAAACCUAGUUAAAUUAAGUUUUAGUAUCUUUGGAGUCCAUUGUACUAAAUACACAAGUUAUGUAUGUUUGUAGGUCAGUAUUGUAUAUACCAUGCCUGGGGGGCAGAUGUGAACCCUGGGAAGUGUUACGAACUUCAAAGGACUGCUUACAAUGUGCUAAACAAGAAUGGAUUUAAGGGACAUACAAUGUUAGGUGGUUUUCCUGGGAAUUUCUAGCGGGAGGUGAAUGCAAAUUCUUUACUUCCAGCCUUUUGAAGCUGCACCCCAAGGAGAGAACUAUUAUCUGCUGAUUACCUGUUCCCUGACUGUGAGGGCAGGCCUAUGCUAUGGCAGGGAUCCACGCUCUGAGAUCGAUCCAUUGGCAGUCGAUUUACUGGGUCUACUAAAAACCUGCCAGAUCGACAGUGGAUCGCUCUCCAAUCGACCCCUGUACUCUACCCCCGACGAGAUGAGUAAGCACCCAUGGAGUCAGUGCCUAUGCAUGGGGAUGCUAGUUCUGAGCUGAGCCUGUUACGAACUUGUAACCACAGAAAUAUUCCUUGGUGGGGUUUGAAGGACUGACACCAGAGCCCAUGUUGGAGCUGGGGUGAUCUCUGGUAAGUUUAUUAGCAUGCAUGUAGGUUAUUUUAUUUUUAUUAGUUUUGUUUCUGUAAUGCUUGCUUAGAAAGACCUGUGUGGGAGCUUGUAACUGCUAGCAAUUACAGCUGUUUGUAGCCUUGAGAGAGAAACAAAUUGCAGACACUGGCCUGUUUAGGCAUUCUGGCUUGCUUAAACUAUCACAGCAUAGGCAGAGAACUGGCAGCCGGGAAAAAACAUCAGUCAGAAGGGAGAGAGAUGCAGGUCUCUACCCAAAACAGGUUACAGCUGAGGAGCCAGAAGCCUAGAGUGGGUGCCCUUGAGGGACCAUGGAGGGGGAAAUACAGGCGCCACUAAACUGUGACACUGAGCACCUCCUGUUCAUGUAUUUCUUCACAACACCCCUAUAAAGUUGUCUCUCACAAGAACUGUGGCACAGAGAUUACAUGACUUGCCUAAGGUCACUGAGUGUGUCACUAGCAGAAAUGACAAUAGAAACUCGGUUUCCUGAGCCUGACUUGUUUUAUAUACAUACUGGCUCUGAUUCUUUUUCCUCUGUCCAGUUUUAUGCCCAAAUAACUCAACUGACUUCAGUAGAGUUAUUACUGACAUGAUUAUGAAAAUGCUCUUUGCAACUCCAUAGUCAAGGUUGAGUUCCAUUUUGCAUUUAAAGCAGGAUUCAACUUAUUUGUGUUGUCUGAAAAAUAUAUGAUACCCUCCCUAAAUGUACAGUACUUACUCUUAGAGUACAGAAGGAAUUUAAGUAAUUUUAUUAAUUAACCUAUAAGUUUAAAUGGUUAUUUGAAAAACUUAACAUCUUUGUACAUCUGCUCUUUGUCCCAAAUGAUCUUUACAAUGAAAUAACAGAUACUUUAAAUGUUCCAUAUUGUUAAAAUUAACUAAAAUAUUUUGCAUAUGCUAUUUUUGAAGAAAUUCAGUCAGUAUGACAUCAGAGGUAAUUCAGUCAAUCACCAUCUAUCCUCUAUAGCUAAUGUGCAUGCCACAAUUCUACUGGUUGUAAUGAGUGAGUGAUAUGAAGAAGGUUAAAUACGUGACAGAUUCUCUCAUUGACAGAUUAGUUGGUCCGCCUGUCACUGCCCUUUAAAGAUUCUGUGGUUGCAUGCUAGUUUGGACAUCAGUACUUAAAAAGCUCCCUAUGGCAUUGCUGUCGCCCCCACCACAUACUGAGGCAGGUGCAUGGGGGACAUCUUAAAGCAGGUGUGCCCCCUGCACACACACACAAUGGGCUUUAGGGAAUAGACUCUCCCUGCUCCUCCUUCAGAUAACACAGGUUUCACUAACACAGUCCUCUAAACAAAUAAUUCAUUGCAAAUUGUGUCAGAAUAACCAGUAUCCCUUGUCAAUGGAAAGUUUAGUGUUUAUUUAUGAAAAUUUUAAUAUUUUUAAAACUAAGGAAAUUCUCAGAAUAUAGCAUUAAGGCUGCCUUGUAGCGAUACUACAAGGGGAAAAAUAUAUAAAAGAAAACAUACUAAUAUGUCAACAGAAAUCAGUUGAAUCUAAUCUGGGACCUCAAAUACCUUCAUAACCGUAUGAUUUUUGCAUGAUGUCAAUACAGGGCAAAGUUAAGGUUGGUUGGGUGCCUAACAGCAGUUUUUUUACUUUAACAUGUUUGGAUUUCUUCUUAUAAAUUUAACUCUGAAUUUCCAGAGUUUAUAAUGCUUGUUUCUUGGAUUAUUACAAUAUUCCUGCGAUAUUUUUUUCACUCUUAAAUUACUGAUACAUACUCCGAGCCUUAACUACACCUUAAUGUACUUUUUGUCUGAGAAUUUAUACCGGUACGACACUGGAUUAAGGUCUACAGCCCUUGUUCCAAGGAGUUUACAAUCAUAGGCCCCAUCUACACUGGCAAGUUUCUGCACAGUAAAGCAGCUUUGUGUGCUGUAACUCCCGAGGUGUAUACAUUGCCAAGCCACUUAGUGCACAAAAACUGCACAGUUGUAGCUCUCUUAAAAAAAAAAACACUCCGAUGAGAGAUGUAGAGCUUUCUGCACCAGGGCUACAGCAUUGCCGUGCCAGUGUAGACACCGUGGUGAUUACAGUGUUGCGAUUGGCCUCCAGGAGGUGUCACACAAUGCCUGUUCUUGCCUCUCUGGUCAUCGGUUUCAACUCUACUGCCCUGCCCUCAGGUGACCAACUGUCAUCCCCACACCUUAAAUCCCUUUGCGAAUUUGAAAGUCCCCUUCCUGCUUGCUCGGUGAUGCGUGCAUUUUUCCAGGUGACCAUGCCUGCUCCAUGCACCAGGCAAUCCCUCGCUUGGAGCAAUGCUGAGCUGCUGGACCUCAUUGGCA